AUACGUAGGGGGCGAGCGUUGUCCGGAAUGAUCGGGCGUAAAGGGCGCGUAGGCGGCCCGGUAAGUCUGGAGUGAAAGUCCUGUUUUUAAGAUGGGAAUUGCUUUGGAUACUGUCGGGCUUGAGUGCAGGAGAGGUAAGUGGAAUUCCCAGUGUAGCGGUGAAAUGCGUAGAGAUUGGGAGGAACACCAGUGGCGAAGGCGACUUACUGGACUGUAACUGACGCUGAGGCGCGAAAGUGUGGGGAGCAAACAGGAUUAGAUACCCUGGUAGUCCACACUGUAAACGAUGAAUGCUAGGUGUAGGGGGUAUCGACCCCUUCUGUGCCGCAGUCAACACAAUAAGCAUUCCGCCUGGGGAGUACGGCCGCAAGGUUGAAACUCAAAGGAAUUGACGGGG
rnacentral:rRNA from 1 species